rnacentral:rRNA from 1 species
UACGUAGGGUGCAAGCGUUAAUCGGAAUUACUGGGCGUAAAGCGUGCGCAGGCGGUUAUGCAAGACAGAUGUGAAAGCUCCCGGCUCAACUGGGAGAGGUCCUUGGAUACUGGCAGACUUGAGGGAGGUAGAGGAGAGUGGAAUUCCCGGUGUAGUGGUGAUAUGCGUAGAUAUCGGGAGGAACACCAGUGGCGAAGGCGGCUCUCUGGGCCUUACCUGACGCUGAGACGCGAAAGCGUGGGGAGCGAACCGG